AUAUCUCUCCGUACGGGAAGGAUGAGAAGCUUCGACCAAGGUUCGAUUCGAGCGCAGCGAGAAAGCGUUGCCGCAGGCAACGACCCGAAGGGCGAAGCGCGCAGCGCUG
rnacentral:sRNA from 1 species